rnacentral:rRNA from 1 species
UACGUAGUAAGCGAGCGUUAUCCGAAUUUACUGGGCGUAAAGUGGGCGUAGGCGGCCUUUCAAGUUGGAUGUGAAAUCUCCUGGCUUAACUGGGAGGAGUCAUCCAAUACUGCUAGGCUUGAGGACAGCAGGAGAAAGUGGAAUUCCCGGUGUAGUGGUGAAAUGCGUAGAUAUCGGGAGGAACAUCGAUGGCGAAGGCAGCCAUCUGGACCAGCACUGACGCUGAGGCACGAAAGCGUGGGGAGCAAACAGGAUUA